GACUAGAAUGAAUGGAUAAAUGGGGUUACUCUUUCUUAAAUUAGAAUUUUAAAGUAAUUUUUUUAGUGAAGAAACUAAAAUAGGGAUGAGGGACGAGAAGACCCUAUUAAGCUUUAUAUAAUUAUUUUGUUGGGGAAACAAAAGAAAAAAUUUUCUUUAAAAAAGUCUUUUGAUAAAGUUUGAUUUAUUAUUAAUGAUAAUAGAAUAAGUUACUAUAGGGAUAACAGCAUAAUUUUUUUUUAAAGUUCUUAUUAACAAUAAAGAUUAUGACCUCGAUGUUGGAUUAAAAAAAUUAUAUGAUGAAGUUGUUGUAUAAAUUAGUCUGUUCGACUAUUAAAUUUUUA
rnacentral:rRNA from 1 species